rnacentral:misc_RNA from 1 species
GAAAUGCGAUAAGUAAUGUGGAUUGCAGAAUUCCGUGAAUCAUCGAAUCUUUGAACGCACAUUGCGCCCUCUGGUAUUCCGGGGGGCAUGCCUGUCCGAGCGUCAUUGCGAACCCCUCAAGCACGGCUUGUGUGAUGGGCCCUCCCGCGUCUUGGUCGUCAAGACGGGCCCGAAAUGCAGUGGCGGCUUCGCGGUUAUCCGAUCAGCCAGAGCGUAUGGGGACUUUCUCUCUGUCACACGCCCGCGGCGCGGACCGACGCCUGUCGACCUUUAUUCAUCUUUUUCUCGGUUGACCUCGGAUCAGGUAGGGAUACCCGCUGAACUUAAGC